rnacentral:rRNA from 1 species
UACGGAGGAUCCAAGCGUUAUCCGGAUUAUUGGGUUAAAGGGUGCGUAGGCGGCUUAUUAAGUCAGGGGUGAAAGACGGUGGCUCAACCAUCGCAGUGCCUUUGAUACUGAUGAGCUUGAAUACACUUGAGGUAGGCGGAAUUGACGGUGUAGCGGUGAAAUGCUUAGAUAUCGUCAAGAACACCGAUAGUGUAGACAGCUACUAGCUUUAACUGACGCUGAGGCACGAAAGUGUGGGGAUCAAACAGG